rnacentral:rRNA from 1 species
UUGGAGGGCAAGUCUGGUGCCAGCAGCCGCGGUAAUUCCAGCUCCAAUAGCGUAUAUUAAAGUUGUUGCAGUAUAAAAGCUCGUAGUUGAAUUUCGAGAUCAGUACGCUGGUCGUGCCUUCGGUAUGCACUGGUGUCACUGGUUUCUCCCUUCUGAAGAACCGUCAUGUCAUUAAGUUGGUGUGGCGGGGAAUCAGGACUGUUACUUUGAAAAAAUUAGAGUGUUUAAAGCAGGC